rnacentral:rRNA from 1 species
CGGGUGAGUAAUGUAUGGGGAUCUGCCUGAUGGCGGGGGAUAACUACUGGAAACGGUAGCUAAUACCGCAUAAUGUCUGCGGACCAAAGCGGGGGACCUCCGGGCCUCGCGCCAUCAGAUGAACCCAUAUGGGAUUAGCUUGUAGGUAAGGUAACGGCUUACCUAGGCGACGAUCCCUAGCUGGUCUGAGAGGAUGAUCAGCCACACUGGAACUGAGACACGGUCCAG